CUUUAUUGGAGAGUUUGAUCCUGGCUCAGGAUGAACGCUGGCGGCGUGCCUAAUACAUGCAAGUCGAGCG
rnacentral:rRNA from 7 species